CUAUAACUUUUAUUAGUUAUGGCGAGAGGAG
rnacentral:ncRNA from 1 species